CAUGCCGUAAACGAUGAUUACUAGGUGUAGGGGGUAUCGACCCCCCCUGUGCCGCAGUUAACACAAUAAGUAAUCCACCUGGGGAGUACGGCCGCAAGGUUGAAACUCAAAGGAAUUGACGGGGGCCCGCACAAGCAGUGGAGUAUGUGGUUUAAUUCGAAGCAACGCGAAGAACCUUACCAGGUCUUGACAUCCAACUAACGAGGCAGAGAUGCGUUAGGUGCCCUUCGGGGAAAGUUGAGACAGGUGG
rnacentral:rRNA from 1 species